rnacentral:misc_RNA from 1 species
UCCGAGUUGACCCCGGCAGUCUCCUAUGAGUUCCCACCAUUACGUGCUGGCAACAUAGAACGAGGGUUGCGCUCGUUGCGGGACUUAACCCAACAUCUCACGACACGAGCUGACGACAGCCAUGCAGCACCUGUGCUGGUGUUCCGAAGAAGGCUCCCUGUUUCCAGGGCGGUCAGGCACAUGUCAAGCCCAGGUAAGGUUCUUCGCGUUGCGUCGAAUUAAACCACAUGCUCCGCUGCUUGUGCGGGUCCCCGUCAAUUCCUUUGAGUUUUAGCCUUGCGGCCGUACUCCCCAGGCGGGCCACUUAAUGCGUUAGCUUCGGCACGGAGGGAGUCGACACCCCCCACACCUAGUGGCCAUCGUUUACAGCGUGGACUAC